UUUUCUCACAUUUUUGGCCCCUAAAGCUAGUGAUCUUAACAACUUUUGCUACUUUAUUUCUAUGAUUGUUAAUUUUAAAUUAAUUUUUUUUUGUCUUUGGUUUGAAUGGGACGAAAUAGAGUGCAUUGAUAAAAAGUACAAUAUGUUGCACCACCUCAAAUAAAUGUUUCUUAAUGGUUUUUCAACACUGUUUUUGUUGUUUUUAGACGCCUAGAGGACUGCAAUGAUAUUGUAAGCCACUUUAUUGAGUGGAUAUAUGUUGACUUUUACAAAAGGAUCACCGCUGUGAAAUUGGGAGGAGGUACUAUCUUUUCUUCGAUUUUUGUACUUAAGUAACUGAAUCAGGGAAUCUUAGGGGGUGAGGGAGUUCCUCCUAUGUUAAUAGGUAGG